rnacentral:rRNA from 1 species
GACGUAGGGCGCGAGCGUUGUCCGGAUUUAUUGGGCGUAAAGAGCUCGUAGGCGGCUUGUCGCGUCGUCUGUGAAAUCCCGCGGCUCAACUGCGGGUCUGCAGUCGAUACGGGCAGGCUAGAGUUCGGUAGGGGAGACUGGAAUUCCUGGUGUAGCGGUGAAAUGCGCAGAUAUCAGGAGGAACACCGGUGGCGAAGGCGGGUCUCUGGGCCGAUACUGACGCUGAGGAGCGAAAGCGUGGGGAGCGAACAGG